rnacentral:rRNA from 1 species
GGGGAAUAUUGGACAAUGGAGGAGACUCUGAUCCAGCAAUUCUGUGUGCACGAAGACGGUUUUCGGAUUGUAAAGUGCUUUCAGCAGGGAAGAAGAAAGUGACGGUACCUGCAGAAGAAGCGACGGCUAAAUACGUGCCAGCAGCCGCGGUAAUACGUAUGUCGCAAGCGUUAUCCGGAAUUAUUGGGCAUAAAGGGCAUCUAGGCGGCCAGAUAAGUCUGGGGUGAAAACUUGCGGCUCAACCGCAAGCCUGCCCUGGAAACUAUGUGGCUAGAGUACUGGAGAGGUGGACGGAACUGCACGAGUAGAGGUGAAAUUCGUAGAUAUGUGCAGGAAUGCCGAUGAUGAAGAUAGUUCACUGGACGGUAACUGACGCUGAAGUGCGAAAGCUAGGGGAGCAAACAGGAUUAGAUACCCUGGUAGUCCUAGCUGUAAACGAUGAUUACUGGGUGUGGGCAUGAAGAGUGUCCGUGCCGAAGCUAAUGCGAUAAGUAAUCCGCCUGGGGAGUACGGCCGCAAGGCUG